CCUACGGGAGGCAGCAGUGAGGAAUAUUGGUCAAUGGGCGCAAGCCUGAACCAGCCAAGUCGCGUGAAGGAUGACUGCCCUACGGGUUGUAAACUUCUUUUGUAAAGGAAUAAAGUGAGGCACGUGUGCCUUUUUGUAUGUACUUUAUGAAUAAGGAUCGGCUAACUCCGUGCCAGCAGCCGCGGUAAUACGGAGGAUCCGAGCGUUAUCCGGAUUUAUUGGGUUUAAAGGGAGCGUAGACGGGUGGUUAAGUCAGUUGUGAAAGUUUGAGGCUCAACCGUAGAAUUGCAAUUGAUACUGGUAGUCUUGAGUACAGUUGAGGUAGGCGGAAUUCGUGGUGUAGCGGUGAAAUGCUUAGAUAUCACGAAGAACACCGAUUGCGAAGGCAGCUUACUAAACUGCCACUGACAUUGAGGCUCGAAAGUGUGGGUAGCAAACAGGAUUAGAUACCCUUGUAGUC
rnacentral:rRNA from 1 species